rnacentral:rRNA from 1 species
ACACAUGCAAGUCGAACGCCCCGCAAGGGGAGUGGCAGACGGGUGAGUAACGCGUGGGAACGUGCCCUUCGCUUCAGGAUAGCCUCGGGAAACUGGGAGUAAUACUGAAUACGCCGUAUUGGGAAAGAUUUAUCGGCGAAGGAUCGGCCCGCGUUAGAUUAGGUAGUUGGCGGUGUAAUGGACCACCAAGCCUACGAUCUAUAGCUGGUCUGAGAGGAUGAUCAGCCACACUGGGACUGAGACACGGCCCAGACUCCUACGGGAGGCAGCAGUGGGGAAUCUUGGACAAUGGGC